GAAGACACACAAGGAAGUCACCUUGAAGCCUACUCUUUAGAAGUGUGAGUCAUUAGAAGCUUUCAGAGUAAUUUGAAGCUUUCAGUCUACAAGGCGUGUAGUGUUAUGGUGCUCGAAGUGGUUUAUCUCGUAGCUCAUUCUGCCUGCAUUACCUAUGACUAGAUCUUUAACUAUUAGCAAUAUAUUGGAUGGAAUGUAAUCUGGUGUGUACCAUGACGGUCCGACUUGUUGUGUUGGAUGACUGAAGAAAUCCUAAGAUGGCCCCUGAUCUUCAUUAGAGGAUAGCCAUGCUACCAUGGAUUGAGGAUCCACUAACGAUGGAGUAGCACUAAAGGAUGUGUGCUCGGUAUGUGGAGCGUCUAUGUAGCUCUCAUCGGUAGUAUGCAUAUGUCUUCGCAUCUCUUCACUCGGCUUUUAAUUAUGUUAUUAGUCCUUUGGAUGUCUAUAUCAUCGUCUAUACCAAAAAAGGGCUGAAGAGUGCUCUCCGUUUUAAGAAAAUAAGUGUGUUCGAAGUUGUGAACGAA